rnacentral:rRNA from 1 species
AUUGAACGCUGGCGGCAUGCCUUACACAUGCAAGUCGAACGCCCGCCUUGACAGCUUGCUCUCUGAUGGCGAGUGGCGAACGGGGGAGAAAUGCGUCGGGACGUCCCGUGUAAUGCGGGAUAACGCAGCGAGAGAUACGCUAAUACCGCAUACGACCUGGGGGUGAAAGCAGGGGAUCGCAAUUACUUGCGGUAUACCAUCUGCCGAUGUCCGAUUAGGUAGAUGGUGAGGUAAAGGCUCACCAAGGCGACGAUCUGUAGCGGGUCUGAGAGGAUGAACCGCCACACUGGGACUGGGACACGGCCCAGACUCCUACGGGAGGCAGCAGUGGGAAAUUUUGGACAAUGGGGGCAAGCCUGAUCCAGCCAUGCCGCGUGAGUGAAGAAGGCCUUCGGGUUGUAAAGCUCGUGCGGCCGGGAAGAAAUCGCACAGGCUAAUACUCUGUGUGGAUGACGGUACCGGCAUAAGAAGCACCGGCUAACUACGUGCCAGCCGCCGCAGUAA